GUUAAAUGUGUUGUUGCUGUAGGAUAGCAGCGAACAUAGCAGAAGAAACAUGGAGACGUAACAUUUGUGCCGGAUAUUUCGUAAGCAGUUGGUUUUGUGAGGUGCGCUUUGAUGGCUGAUGUCGACAAUUCUUCACAGAAAAGCAAGAGUUUUUCUCUCAAAAAACUGCUGAAGGUCCGACGAGUCACCAGUUUUUCGUAGAAUACGAUAUUGCGUUAAACCAGGUGACCUUCGAAUGGAGAAGUGGGGGCGUGACGGGACCCAGUAUGCGAGGAGGAGACGCCACUGACCAUGCCAAGCCGGAGGCACCCCGGCGGCACUCACCACCUAUUAGAAAGCGAGAACUCAGCCCUCAAGGUGGAUCCAGAAAAAAGU